CCUACGGGAGGCAGCAGUGGGGAAUAUUGCACAAUGGGCGAAAGCCUGAUGCAGCGACGCCGCGUGAGGGAUGACGGCCUUCGGGUUGUAAACCUCUUUCAGCAGGGAAGAAGCGAGAGUGACGGUACCUGCAGAAGAAGCGCCGGCUAACUACGUGCCAGCAGCCGCGGUAAUACGUAGGGCGCAAGCGUUGUCCGGAAUUAUUGGGCGUAAAGAGCUCGUAGGCGGCUCGUUGCGUCGGUUGUGAAAGCCCGGGGCUUAACCCCGGGUCUGCAGUCGAUACGGGCAGGCUAGAGUGUGGUAGGGGAGAUCGGAGUUCCUGGUGUAGCGGUGAAAUGCGCAGAUAUCAGGAGGAACACCGGUGGCGAAGGCGGAUCUCUGGGCCAUUACUGACGCUGAGGAGCGAAAGCGUGGGGAGCGAACAGGAUUAGAUACCCUGGUAGUCCACGCCGUAAACGUUGGGAACUAGGUGUUGGCGACAUUCCACGUCGUCGGUGCCGCAGCUAACGCAUUAAGUUCCCCGCCUGGGGAGUACGGCCGCAAGGCUAAAACUUAAAGGAAUUGACGG
rnacentral:rRNA from 1 species